UGGGGAAUAUUGGACAAUGGGCGCAAGCCUGAUCCAGCCAUGCCGCGUGAGUGACGAAGGCCUUAGGGUUGUAAAGCUCUUUUUGGCGGGGAAGAUAAUGACGGUACCCGCAGAAUAAGCUCCGGCUAACUUCGUGCCAGCAGCCGCGGUAAUACGAAGGGAGCUAGCGUUGUUCGGAAUCACUGGGCGUAAAGCGCACGUAGGUGGGCAGUUAAGUCAGGGGUGAAAGCCCGAGGCUCAACCUCGGAAUUGCCUCUGAUACUGGCUGUCUAGAGUUCGAGAGAGGUGAGUGGAAUUCCUAGUGUAGAGGUGAAAUGCGUAGAUAUAGGAAGGAACACCAGUGGCGAAGGCGACCACCUGGACUGAUACUGACACUGAGGUGCGAAAGCGUGGGGAGCAAACAGGAUUAGAUACCCCAGUAGUCCCUGAGCGGGCUGGCAAGGCGCAU
rnacentral:rRNA from 1 species